CCUACGGGAGGCAGCAGUGGGGAAUAUUGCACAAUGGGGGAAACCCUGAUGCAGCGACGCCGCGUGGGUGAAGAAGCGCCUCGGCGCGUAAAGCCCUGUCAGCAGGGAAGAAAAUGACGGUACCUGAAGAAGAAGCCCCGGCUAACUACGUGCCAGCAGCCGCGGUAAUACGUAGGGGGCAAGCGUUAUCCGGAUUUACUGGGUGUAAAGGGGGCGCAGCAGGCGAUGCAAGCCAGGAGUGAAAGCCCGGGGCCCAACGCCGGGACUGCUCUUGGAACUGCGUGGCUAGAGUGCAGGAGGGGCAGGAGGAAUUCCUGGUGUAGCGGUGAAAUGCGUAGAUAUCAGGAGGAACACCGGUGGCGAAGGCGGCCUGCUGGACUGCAACUGACGUUGAGGCCCGAAAGCGUGGGGAGCAAACAGGAUUAGAUACCCUAGUAGUC
rnacentral:rRNA from 1 species